AAUACAUUAAAAGUAAAAUAAUCCGAGCUAAAUCCAAGCAAGCUCCAAGCCACGAGUUUUUUGGACAGCCCUAGGUAGAAGACGCCUUAAACGUACAUUAUAUCACCUCUACGGCAUUGCAAGCUCUGCAUUUGUCAUGAAUUGAAUGAGCUAACGAUAAAGCGACGAAUAUUGUCGUCACGAAGAUCAAGCGUCGCAACGCCACCGCAACCGCCAUCUUCUACUCUUCUCUCCGGCGAAAACCUACACACAAACACGCACUCCGUCGGUUAUUCGUUGAACUGAGAUUUAAAAAACUGACCGCUGACCGGAGAUUUUUGCUACGUGGAAGACGAGUGUUUCGACCAAUUGGAAAGAGACACCUGGCGUAGGGCGGUAGGGCCUGAACACGUCGGAUUAAUUCUAGAAAUUAUCUAUUUGCCCCUCGUUGAUAAUGAGAAUUUCAGAACUGUCCCCUUGAGUAUUGACUCUUGUGAAAUAUACCUCGUCUAUCAUCUAAAGAAUAUGAUUUGGGUUUGUAAAAGAUUAAAGUAUAAGGGUGUAAGGGGCGUAAGCGGUGAGUGAAAUCGGUGACCCCAUUCACCUAAGGGGAACACCGCCGCCAUCCCUUAGGUGAGGCAAUUAGGGGAGUGAAAUCGUGUGUUGUUCACCGAUGAAGAUUGAAGAGAGAGGGAUAUGUGGAGAUAUGUGA
rnacentral:lncRNA from 1 species